GGGGAAUAUUGCACAAUGGGCGCAAGCCUGAUGCAGCGACGCCGCGUGGGGGAUGAAGGCCUUCGGGUUGUAAACCCCUUUCAGCAGGGAAGAAGCGAAAGUGACGGUACCUGCAGAAGAAGCGCCGGCUAACUACGUGCCAGCAGCCGCGGUAAUACGUAGGGCGCAAGCGUUGUCCGGAAUUAUUGGGCGUAAAGAGCUCGUAGGCGGUUUGUCGCGUCUGCUGUGAAAACCCGAGGCUCAACCUCGGGCCUGCAGUGGGUACGGGCAGACUAGAGUGCGGUAGGGGAGACUGGAAUUCCUGGUGUAGCGGUGGAAUGCGCAGAUAUCAGGAGGAACACCGAUGGCGAAGGCAGGUCUCUGGGCCGCAACUGACGCUGAGGAGCGAAAGCAUGGGGAGCGAAC
rnacentral:rRNA from 1 species